rnacentral:misc_RNA from 1 species
CAACCAUCAAGCUUUGCUUGGUAUUGGGUGCCACUGCUAGGUGCAUCUCAAAAUUAGUGGCGGUGCCAUUCAGCUUCAAGCGUAGUAAUUUGUCGCUCCUGGAGUUAGUGUUGUACCUGCUAGAACCCCUAAUUUAUCAAG